UGGGGGAUAUUGCACAAUGGGCGAAAGCCUGAUGCAGCGACGCCGCGUGGGGGAUGAAGGCUUUCGGGUUGUAAACCUCUUUCGCUAUCGAACAAGGCCCGCUUAGGGUGGGUUGAGGGUAGGUGGAGAAGAAGCGCCGGCUAACUACGUGCCAGCAGCCGCGGUAAUACGUAGGGCGCGAGCGUUGUCCGGAAUUAUUGGGCGUAAAGGGCUUGUAGGCGGCUUGUUGCGCCUGCUGUGAAAACGCGGGGCUUAACUUCGCGCGUGCAGGGGGUACGGGCAGGCUUGAGGGUGGUAGGGGUGACUGGAAUUCCAGGUGUAGCGGUGGAAUGCGCAGAUAUCUGGAGGAACACCGAUGGCGAAGGCAGGUCACUGGGCCAUUACUGACGCUGAGGAGCGAAAGCAUGGGUAGCGAACAGG
rnacentral:rRNA from 1 species